rnacentral:rRNA from 1 species
UACGGGGGGGCAAGCGUUGUUCGGAAUUACUGGGCGUAAAGGGCUCGUAGGCGGCCAACUAAGUCAGACGUGAAAUCCCUCGGCUUAACCGGGGAACUGCAUCUGAUACUGGAUGGCUUGAGUUCGGGAGAGGGAUGCGGAAUUCCAGGUGUAGCGGUGAAAUGCGUAGAUAUCAGGAAGAACACCCGUGGCGAAAGCGGCUCUCUGGAACGGUACUGACGCUGAGACGCGAAAGCGUGGGGAGCGAACAGG